CUUGCAUUCAUAGCGCUUCCUUCCAGUGUGAGUCUAUUCAUGUCCAUAAAAGGAACCAGGCUAGCUGAAUGCUUUCCCACAAUCCUUACAUUGAUAUGGCUUCUCUCCCAUAUGAGUCCUUGCGUGUAUAUGCAAGGAAGAAAAAUAAUUGAAUGCUUUUCCACAUUCCUUACAUUCAUAGUGUUUCUCUCCAAUGUGUGUUCUUGCAUGUAUUUGAAGAAUCUUGGCAGAUGUGAAUCCAUUCCCACAAUGCUUACAUUCAUAGGGCUUCUCUCCUCUGUGCUUCCUUUCAUGUAUUUGAAAAGAAGAGAAUUUACAGAAUGCUUUUUCGCAUUCCUUACAUUCAUAGGGUUUCUCUCCAGUGUGAGUCCUUUCAUGCAUCUGAAGGUUUGAGGCAGAUCUGAAGGCUUUCCCACAUUGCUUACACUCAUAGGGUUUCUCUCCAGUGUGAGUCCUACCAUGCUUUCGAAGGUUUGAGGCACAACUGAAGGCUUUCCCACAUUGCUUACACUCAUAGGGUUUCUCUCCAGUGUGAGUCCUUUCAUGCAUUCGAAGGUGUGAGGCAGAUCUGAAGGCUUUCCCACAUUGCUUACACUCAUAGGGCUUCUCUCCAGUGUGAGUCCUUUCAUGAUAUCGAAGGGAAUUGCAACAUCUGAAGGCUUUACCACAUUGGUUGCAUUCAUAGGGUUUCUCUCCAGUGUGAGUCUUUUCAUGUGUUUGAAAUGACUUGGCAGAAUAAAAGCCUUUCUCACAUAUACUACAUUUAUAAGGUCUUUCUCCAGAGGGCAUUCUUAUGUGUUUUUCUGUCCUUUCAUGAAUUUGAAGGUGCUUCACAUAUCUGAAGGCUUUCCCACAUUCCUUACAUUCAUAGGGUUUCUCUCCAGUAUGAGUCCUACCAUGCACUCGAAGGUGUGAGGUAGAUCUGAAGGCUUUCCCACAUUCCUUACAUUCAUAGGGUUUCUCUCCAGUGUGAGUCCCACCGUGCACUCGAAGCUGUGAGGCAGAUCUGAAGGCUUUCCCACACUGCUUACACUCAUAGGGUUUCUCUCCAGUGUGAAUCCUUUCAUGAUAUCGAAAGGAACUGGAAAGAUUGAAGGCUUUACCACAUUGCUUGCAUUUAUAGCGUUUCUCUCCAGUGUGAGUUUUUUCAUGUGUUUGAAAUGACUUGGCAGAAUAAAAGCCUUUCCCACAUAUCUUACAUUCAUAAGGUCUUUCUCCAGAGUGCAUUCUUAUGUGUGUUUG
rnacentral:lncRNA from 1 species